rnacentral:rRNA from 1 species
GAACGCUAGCGGCAUGCCUUACACAUGCAAGUCGAACGGCAGCACGGGAGCAAUCCUGGUGGCGAGUGGCGAACGGGUGAGUAAUAUAUCGGAACGUGCCCAGUCGUGGGGGAUAACGUAGCGAAAGCUACCUAAUACCGCAUACGAUCUACGGAUGAAAGCGGGGGAUCGCAAGACCUCGCGCGAUUGGAGUGGCCGAUAUCAAUUAGCUAGUUGGUGGGGUAAAGGCCUACCAAGGCGACAUCUGUAGCUGGUCUGAGAGGACGACCAGCCACACUGGAACUGAGACACGGUCCAACUCCUACGGGAGGCAGCAGUGGGGAAUUUUGGACAAUGGGCGCAAGCCUGAUCCAGCAAUGCCGCGUGCAGGAUGAAGGCCCUCGGGUUGUAAACUGCUUCUGUACGGAACGAAACGGCUUCUUCUAAUACAGGAUGCUAAUGACGGUACCGUAAGAAUAAGCACCGGCUAACUACGUGCCAGCAGCCGCGGUAAUACUAGGUGCGAGCGUUAAUCGGAAUUACUG